CUACGGGGCGCUCCAGUGAGGAAUAUUGCACAAUGGGGGGAACCCUGAUGCAGCAACGCCGCGUGGAGGAUGACGCAUUUCGGUGUGUAAACUCCUUUUAUAUGUCAAGAAAAUGACGGUAGCAUAUGAAUAAGCACCGGCUAACUCCGUGCCAGCAGCCGCGGUAAUACGGAGGGUGCAAGCGUUACUCGGAAUCACUGGGCGUAAAAGGAGCGUAGGCGGGUUGGAAAGUCAGGUGUGAAAUCCUACAGCUUAACUGUAGAACUGCACUUGAAACUUCUAAUCUAGAGUAUGGGAGGGGGAGAUGGAAUUAGUGGUGUAGGGGUAAAAUCCGUAGAUAUCACUAGGAAUACCUAAAGCGAAGGCGAUCUCCUGGAACAUUACUGACGCUAAGGCGUGAAAGCGUGGGGAGCAAACAGGAUUAGAUACCCGCGUAGUC
rnacentral:rRNA from 1 species